UAGGGAAUCUUCCGCAAUGGACGCAAGUCUGACGGAGCAACGCCGCGUGAGUGAAGAAGGAUUUCGGUUCGUAAAACUCUGUUGUUAAGGAAGAACGAGUGUGAGAAUGGAAAGUUCAUGCUGUGACGGUACUUAACCAGAAAGGGACGGCUAACUACGUGCCAGCAGCCGCGGUAAUACGUAGGUCCCGAGCGUUGUCCGGAUUUAUUGGGCGUAAAGCGAGCGCAGGCGGUUAGAAAAGUCUGAAGUGAAAGGCAGUGGCUCAACCAUUGUAGGCUUUGGAAACUGUUUAACGUGAGUGCAGAAGGGGAGAGUGGAAUUCCAUGUGUAGCGGUGAAAUGCGUAGAUAUAUGGAGGAACACCAGUGGCGAAGGCGACUUUCUGGUCUGUAACUGACGCUGAUGUGCGAAAGCGUGGGGAUCAAACAGG
rnacentral:rRNA from 1 species